rnacentral:rRNA from 1 species
GCCAACAGCCAUAUCACCCUUCAGCUCUCAACUGGCUACCCCCUGAAGCUAAGUAGGGUUGAGCCUGGUUAGUACCUGGAUGAGAGACCUCCUGUGAAGCAAUCAUUGCUGCUGGAA